rnacentral:tRNA from 1 species
GGAGGGAUACCCAAGCGGCCAAAGGGAGCAGACUGUAAAUCUGCCGGCUCUACGCCUUCGAUGGUUCGAAUCCAUCUCCCUCCAUGG